AAGGUCUCUCCUACCCCGGGGCCUGUGCACCUGCUGUGCCUCUGCUUGGGGUGCUCUUCCCAGGGCUUGCCCACCUCCUCAGAGAGGCCUCCUGACCCCUGACACGGCCUUGCCCUUCACCUCUAUCGUCCUUUAGAACAGCCCCCACCUCCCGCACAUCAUGCAGUUGCAGGUUCAAUGGCUACUGCUUGUCCUCCAGACUCCUCUCCACAAGCCAACAGCUCUCUCCUGGCUUUGAUUUUCAACCAUUUAAGUUGAAAAAAAUUCAAAACAAAUGAAAUGCACUUAAGAGAAAGCCUUGAGGAGUUCAGCAGGCCACCCAAAGUGAAGGGACUCCUUUGGGGGUCUUUGUUGUUAUCAAUUAUUUAUUGAGCCCUGAUGUGUUCCUGGCGCCACCAAGACCGAAAGGAGACAGGGUCCCUGCCCUGGGGCAUCCCAACAAAGAAGGGAGAGUUUGUGAAGCUUAAAAAUGUCCCAGAUGGUAAAACAGUUACACGUCAUACCUCAAGGCUGCUCUAUACUUUUAUUAUAGUUUUAUUCUUAAGGCUGUUUAUUUAUUUUCUGAUGUAAAAGGUAAUAGAAAGUUUAUAAACUAUUCCUAGAAUAUAGACAAAAAAUAAAAUUCGACUUCGUCCAGC
ensembl:lncRNA LINC00494 long intergenic non-protein coding RNA 494